UACAGAGGUCCCAAGCGUUGUUCGGAUUCACUGGGCGUAAAGGGUGCGUAGGUGGCCAGGUAAGUUUGGUGUGAAAGCUCGGAGCUUAACUCCGAAAAGUCAUUGAAUACUAUCUGGCUGGAGGGUCGGAGGGGAGACUGGAAUUCUCGGUGUAGCAGUGAAAUGCGUAGAUAUCGAGAGGAACACCAGUGGCGAAGGCGAGUCUCUGGACGACUCCUGACACUGAGGCACGAAAGCUAGGGGAGCGAAACAAGGAGUU
rnacentral:rRNA from 1 species